rnacentral:rRNA from 1 species
GUCUGCAACUCGACUACAUGAAGCCGGAAUCGCUAGUAAUCGCGGAUCAGAAUGCCGCGGUGAAUACGUUCCCGGGUCUUGUACACACCGCCCGUCACACCAUGGGAGCCGGAAAUGCCCGAAGUCAGUGACCCAACCAAUAAGGAGGGAGCUGCCGAAGGCAGGUCUGGUGACUGGGGGUGAAGUCGUAACAAGGUAAC